rnacentral:rRNA from 1 species
GACGAACGCUGGCGGCGUGCUUAACACAUGCAAGUCGAACGGAAAGGCCCUUUCGGGGGUACUCGAGUGGCGAACGGGUGAGUAACACGUGGGUGAUCUGCCCUGCACUUUGGGAUAAGCUUGGGAAACUGGGUCUAAUACCGAAUACACCCUGCUGGUCGCAUGGCCUGGUGGGGGAAAGCUUUUGCGGUGUGGGAUGGGCCCGCGGCCUAUCAGCUUGUUGGUGGGGUGAUGGCCUACCAAGGCGACGACGGGUAGCCGGCCUGAGAGGGUGUCCGGCCACACUGGGACUGAGAUACGGCCCAGACUCCUACGGGAGGGCAGCAGUGGGGAAUAUUGCACAAUGGGCGCAAGCCUGAUGCAGCGACGCCGCGU